AUUUUAUUGACCAAUGUAACCCCAAUAAGUUCAGUAAAAAAUAAAUUAAAAAAUAAAAUCUUGGUACUGUUGCCACAGUGAUAGUGACUGUCUGUCUCAUUAUCUAUCCACCAACAGUAAGAGAAGCUUUGCAGAGGAGAUAUUGUUUAACAGAUGGAGUGGUUUCUGUUGGACACUAAGUACUGCUUCAAAU